GACGAACGCUGGCGGCGUGCCUAAUACAUGCAAGUCGAGCGGACAGAAGGGAGCUUGCUCCCGGAAGUUAGCGGCGGACGGGUGAGUAACACGUGGGCAACCUACCCUGUAGAUCGGGAUAACAUCGAGAAAUCGGUGCUAAUACCGGAUAAUCAUUUGAAGUGCAUGCUUCGAAUGUAAAAGAUGGCUCCGGCUAUCACUACGGGAUGGGCCCGCGGCGCAUUAGCUAGUUGGUAAGGUAAUGGCUUACCAAGGCAACGAUGCGUAGCCGACCUGAGAGGGGGAGCGGCCACACUGGGACUGAGACACGGCCCAGACUCCUACGGGAGGCAGCAGUAGGGAAUCUUCCGCAAUGGACGAAAGUCUGACGGAGCAACGCCGCGUGAGUGAUGAAGGUUUUCGGAUCGUAAAGCUCUGUUGUUAGGGAAGAACAAGUGCCGUUUGAAUAAGGCGGCACCUUGACGGUACCUAACCAGAAAGCCACGGCUAACUACGUGCCAGCCGCCGCCGCGGUAA
rnacentral:rRNA from 1 species